rnacentral:rRNA from 1 species
GUCUGCGGCCACGCCACCCUGAACGUGCGGGAUCCCGUCUGAUCUCGGAAGCUAAGCGGGGUCAGGCCUGGUUAGUGUUUGGAUGGGAGACCACCUAGGAAGACCAGGUGCUGUAGGCG